UUAGCUACAUAAUUGAAUGGAUGAUCGACCAUUUUUUUUCUUCUAAGAACGCGUGCUAUUAAAUUAUAGAAAUUUCAGUUAAAAAAAAGUCUGUGCCAGGAAUAAAGCCGACGUGUUUCAUUCUAUAUAAAAUAUUAUCAUAAUCAUCUCUGAGGGCUGUUACAUUCGAUAAAACCAAAAGCACGCGCAGAGUGACCAUAAAUGAUAUGUACACGUGUCCGUGUCAUAAUAAUACCUGGAUGUCAGACAUCUCCUGGUCUGAAACGCGACUCCUCCGCCACAACUACGGGAACAUUGGCUAUCGUCGGACCACGGACUCCAUUCACCACUCUCCGAGGUACUGCCGUCCAGAUAAACAUGAUAUUCUGGUACGAAUCCCGAGCUGCUAAACGUAUUGUUCCAUUGUUGUCUUUUGUGUCGACCAUGUCGGAGGUGAUGCUACAAGAAUUCAAACCAUAUAUGAUACAAUUAUUAAUAUUAGAUAUAUAUCUAAUGGACAGCGAUAAACAUCGAUCAGUUGAAAUCCACGCUGCAUUAAAUGUAAACAUUAUUAUAAUAGGUACAUAAUGUAAUAUUUGAAUUUAAUGAUCUGGCAUUUUAGCGCAAUAUAAUAUUAUACAAAUCA